GCGCGAAAACUUUACAAUGCUGGCAACAGCGAUAAGGGAACCUCGAGUGCCAGGUUACAAAUCUGGCUGUCGUGAUGCCUAAAAAGCAUUGCAUAGCAAGGGCCGGGCAAGACCGGUGCCAGCCGCCGCGGUAACACCGGCGGCUCGAGUGGUAACCGUUAUUAUUGGGUCUAAAGGGUCUGUAGCCGGCCGGAUAAGUCUCUUGAGAAAUCUGGCAGCUUAACUGUCAGGCUUUCAGGAGAUACUGUCUGGCUCGAGGCCGGGAGAGGUGAGAGGUACUUCAGGGGUAGGGGUGAAAUCUUGUAAUCCUUGAAGGACCACCAGUGGCGAAGGCGUCUCACCAGAACGGCUCCGACAGUGAGGGACGAAAGCUGGGGGAGCAAACCGGAUUAGAUACCCGGGUAGUCCCAGCCGUAAACGAUGUGCAUUAGGUGUAUCGGUGACCACGAGUCACCGAGGUGCCGAAGAGAAAUCGUGAAAUGCACCGCCUGGGAAGUACGGUCGCAAGGCUAGAAACGUUAAA
rnacentral:rRNA from 1 species